CUCUCCCACACACUUCUGUGCUUUACAUGGGAGAAUGGAACUCUACCAAAACUCUGGGGUGGUCUGAUGUCUCAUCCCAAAAUUUGCGUAUUUGCAGAGGCAAGAAACUAUAACCUACAGCCCGGAUGUGGUUUGACUGUUCAUUUUCAUUAUACUGGACUCUGUUUGUGAGCUACUUUCUGAACAGAGUUCUACAUUGACUGUGUUGACCCAAGAGAUUGAGGAAGACAUUUUCAGGGUGGGUUUGGACACUUCGAAUUUAAUACAGUAGAAGACUAAUAUGGCUUAGCAUUGCUGACGUGGAGCUGCAAUGAGUCGAACAGGACUUUUCAUUCUAUUCUGAGACAAAUGCACAACAGUUAUGUGAGUUAUGCUGUGGAAACUUUUCACCUGAACAACUGAUUGCAUAACAGCACCGCUAUGAGAUCUCAGGAGGUUGGAGUUUACCGAAAUCUGGCUGUGGAAUGCAUUUUCAAAUGCAGACUGGUAAAUGCACUCAGGUUAGACUGUAUAUGCAUCUACAUCACCAACAGUAAAGACAAUGUCAAUUAUUUUAAAAGAAAGCUGCAGUAUCUAAAUGAAUGCCAUUGCUACUUCUGAAACAUUGCAGAGUGUGUUCAUAGAAGAUCUUCACGUUCUCUACUCUUGUGGAUGAGAGGUGCUGAUUGAAUGAUGCACGUCCACGUCACUGUCUCAUGACUCCUUCAUCCGCAUGCUUCCACAGUCACCCUCCUCUUCAUUUACCCUGUGCCCGGUCAACCAUCAAACCCAAUCUGACAAGUUAUGAGUGCAUAUUCAAUAUAACAAUCAGUGUAAGCCACAGCAUCUGCUGCUGUUAGCUGACCCUGUGCUCCAUGUGAAAUGACCUGGUAAUGAGGCUAGAAUAACACACACAGGCAGGGAGAACAUUUACAGGAACAUGAGCUCUGUUUCUCAGAAAUGACUCUUUCCUUUGCUGAGUGUUGCCUUUUUUGGGUUCUUUCUGAAAUUUGUUAUUAUUGAUAUUAUUCAUUAUUCAGUUGUUUAAUAAAGGCAUGCCUCUGAUGUUUAUAAAAAAUAAAUAAAAAAUAAAUCUGGUUAGUGUGCUUGUCUGAGUAUCUGCAGAAUAUACUGUAUAUAAUCAAGUUUAUUGUAACUAGAUUAG
ensembl:lncRNA